UGUUCCUGUAUGAUCACUGAAGUUAAGCAAUGUCAAGCCUGGUCAGUACUUAGAUGGGUGACCACUUGUGAAUAACAGGUGCUGUAAG